UAGAGAGCAGGCUGCCACGUCCUGCCAUUAUCCAGUGUCCUCUCUAUAACAAAGACACUUGGACGAGGACCCUGCAAAGCAGAAAAGAUGAAUAAAGAAAACAUUUCAGGUUUAAAAUGAAUAAACGAUUGCAGACUGUGUCAUACCUUGAAGCUGAGCACCAGGUUGUCAAGCUGGAACAAAUUGUUGAGGUCCAGUUGGAGAGUGACUGGACUCAACUCUACAGGACAAACCAGCAGAAGAGCAUUUCCAUCAGAAGUGGACAAGACCUCCUGGACAGUGUGGGCCAGCUGACCAUUUGGGUUCCUGGAGUCACAUGGACAACACUUCAUCCUCCUCUAAGGAACAAAAAAAAACCCCCACAAACAAAUCAGUAACAAUGGACUUUUCUGCAGAGUUACAUUGUAAUAUUUGAUGUAUGUAUGUAUGGAAGUAUUUGUCUUGAAACUGACCCAUGGACCUAAAAACAACUUCCAAAUUUGUCUCUUUGCCUCCCUGCCAUGCCAGGUAGAUAAGAUGUGUUACUGAGCAGGUCACACAUUUGCCAGAGGGACAGAAAAUCAAUAUGCCUCAGAUGGGAAGCCGAAUCACUAACAGUCCAAGCUUUAUAUUGCGUUUUGAUUGAGCUGGUCAACAACUUGGAGGGAAACUUUACCCCAGUAACAGAUGAGGAAGGAAAAAUGUGCUGCCCUUGUUUAAAUCUGACUAUGUUUUGUAUACAUUUUUUUUUUGACACCAGUGGAACUUGACUUGGGACCACAGGGAAACCAAAUGAAAUUUGCGAAACACAAACAGAGUUUGUCCACCUGACAGAAUUUGAAGUUGGUAAAAUUCAGACUUUUUCCACCAACACAAUUCAAUUUAACAACUGUACUACAAUGACAAAAAGCAGUAACUUCAGUUACUAUAGUUUGCCUUUGUAGGGCAGUAUUGAUAUAGUGGUAUAAUAUUUAUACACAUUUAGAGAGAUACAGAUGUAGUGGUAUUCAUACACAUGUAGAGGGCUGCAGAUACAGUGGUGUAAAUACACAUGUAGUGAGGUAUUCUGUACAAAGGCAAAAGGCAGUAAUGGAAGUUACUGUUUUUUGCCUUUGCAGGGCAGUGUAGAUGUUUAAUAUAGCUUUAAAGAAAUAAUUCAUACAAAGAAUGACAUUUUAGGUUAUUGUCUACUGACCACUGAGUCAGUCAAAGCACGUGUGAAGUCUGUAUGUACAUUUGCAAACAAACACACACAUUUUUAUUAAUGUACUGAAUUAAAUAAAAGUGAGCAGAUAAUGCCCACAUUUCCAUUUUUGGGUGAAAUUUUUCUUUUAACAUUUACAGUAAUGGAUCUGUUUUUCCACCUCUGAUGAGCUGUGUGCUGUUUAUGAAGACACCCAGUAUGUUUGUGAAUGUAUGUACUUGGGUAAUUCCCCACACAAGUGCUCAGAUCACUGACAGCUGGGCAGCUGCUUUCACCAGUCAAUGUUUAUUAGCUCCCCCUUUAUACGGGGGCAUGGCUGCCAGUCUGGCACACUGACCAUGGCUGCUUUCCCUGUAGGGUAAAGUUCCCUCUGGACUGCUGAUUGUUAAACAUAAAGGCCUCAAUAAUGUUUCCCCUCCAGCUGUGUGUCUCAACGCACUCACCCACAUUAGGAUGCAAAUUUACAAUCAAAAUUGCUUAGAUUUGUUCUCCACCGGUCAGGUCCUGGCUAAAAGGGUAUAUUACUCUGAAAGUGAAGCCCAUCUUUAAACAUGAAAUUGUUUUCCAGCUUCCUUUCAAACAUUUAUAGAAUUGUUCUGUGCAUGUUUCCUCAUUCCCAAAACACAGUGACAUUAAAGGGGUACUCCAAUGAUUUAGUAUUGCACUUCUAUAAAGUUGGGGGACUUCACAGAGACAGUCCUAGUAAUGGUGAGGCCAACAAUUUCAAUAUAAUAUCUAUAAUUCAACUCCAUUGUGUCUUUCAUUAGACCCCCUUGGUCUAGUAAACGCCCACCUCUUUUUAAACACCACGCUUCCAGUUUGUAAUCCAGGUUUUCUGUUUCUGUUCUUGUAGUCUCUAAACCAGCCUAAACUGAGAUAACCCAUCAUCAGGGAUAUUUUCUCAGACUUGACAAAACUCUUCCAAAGGCAAGAGAGAAAAAAAUGAAUCUGAAAAUACUACAUGAUAUAUGCCUAACUAAUAUUCUACUUUUCUUCUACUUUCUACAAUAAACACUAUAAUUCUGGACAUUUAAAAAAAAACUUUUUAAUCACCUAUGUGCAAUUUUGACACAUAUGUCAGAGUUUUUUCUUUGUCUUUAUUCUUUUUCUUAUUAUUGUUUAUAUCUUUUUUUAAGUUACCUUACAUACUCAAUAUGUGAAAUUUCUAUUUCAUUUUGUUAGUGUGUUGACGUUAAUACAGUUUAUAGAAAAAAGAAAAGAAGAAAAAAAAAGACAAAGUGCCUCCAGAAGCCCUUAUACAACUGUUUCAACAGGCUGAGAGUAAACUGGUCUUCAUGUGUAAAAUUGGUGGUGCCCCCUUAACUACCAUGACGGACACAUCUUUAGCACAUCAAGUGCAUGGUCAAGUGAAGAAAAUUCAGCAAGGAUCACAGCAUCACAUGGAAAAAUUUCUGUCUAGGUGAAUCAAUCAUGAAAAAACAUCAAUAUCUUCAGGCAACUUGCAUUCCCCUAUGCAUAAAUAUAGUGUACAUAAAUCUGAAAUUAAAGGUGCCUAAAAAGACUGUGAUAUCAACAACAAUAUUUAAAGGUCCAGUGUGUAACAUUUAGGAGGAGGUAUUGGCAGAAAUGGAAUGUAAUAUUUAUUAGUAUGUUUUCAUUAGUGUAUAAUCGCCUGAAAAUAAGAAUCGUUGUGUUUUCGUUACUUUAGAAUGAGCCGUUUUUAUCUACAUAGAGAGUGGGUCCAUGAGGCCGCCAUGUUGCACAGCCGUGUUUCUACAGUAGCCCAGAUUGGAUAAACCAAUCACUAGCUUUAGAUAGGACCUUUUGUGUUUUUCGCGGGUUUCGCGGCCACCAAAGUUUCUCCUACACACUUGGAUUGGGAGGGUGAGGCGAGCGGUAUUCAAAUGGUUGCAAAGUGCAAUUUCACUGCUAGUUGCCACUAAAUACUACACACUGGACCUUUAACAUCUCCAACAAUAUUAUCACAAAUAUAUGGAAACAUUUAUUAUAUGGCCCUGUCCUAGAUGGUAUAACAUAGACUGAUUUUGUGAAUGAAAGCUGGACAAAGUGAUGUUCACCAUCUGUGUAUAGGGAACAAAUUUUGGUCAUACUUAGUUAUUUAAAAUGAAAACAUCACCAACAGAGUGAAAAGCUGCAUUGACAGAGAAAAGUCUCCUUUCUGUCUAGACAUUUAUGACAUGCUCUGUGAUGCUUUGGUUGACAUUCCUGAUCCUGGACGUCUGGCCCUUCCUGAACAAUCACCAUUUCUCGCCAUGCAGGUUGUAAAACACCAAAAGCUAUUAUUGGUCGGAGUUCAACAUGUAAUCUGAUAUGUCUUGUUGACAAGUAACGGCAGGAAUUUAAAGGACAACAAUCACCUAAUCUGACACAGUAAUCACCUCGAAAAGCAUAAAUGUCAUGUAGCCU